AACGAACGCUGGCGGCAUGCCUAACACAUGCAAGUCGAACGAGACCUUCGGGUCUAGUGGCGCACGGGUGCGUAACGCGUGGGAACCUGCCCUUAGGUUCGGAAUAACUCCCCGAAAGGGGUGCUAAUACCGGAUAAUGUCUUCGGACCAAAGAUUUAUCGCCUUUGGAUGGGCCCGCGUUGGAUUAGCUAGUUGGUAGGGUAAAAGCCUACCAAGGCGACGAUCCAUAGCUGGUCUGAGAGGAUGAUCAGCCACACUGGGACUGAGACACGGCCCAGACUCGUACGGGAGGGAGCAGUGGGGAAUAUUGGACAAUGGGCGAAAGCCUGAGCCAGCAAUGCCGCGUGAGUGAUGAAGGCCUUAGGGUUGGAAAGCUCUUUUACCCGGGAGGAUAAUGACAGUACCGGGAGAAUAAGCGCCGGCUAACUCCGUG
rnacentral:rRNA from 1 species